rnacentral:lncRNA from 1 species
UGGUCUUGUUAGAUGUGUGCCUUAGAAACCAAUCUUGACUGACGCAUACCUUUCUCUAGGGCAUAUUUUGUGCUUGAUGGGUAGUAUUAAUAACCAAUCAUGUCUUUUGCAUCCAUGAUUUAUCCUAAAAAUUAAUAAAGAUGAUUUUGUAUAUUUUUAAGAUGUUGAGAAUUUGAGACAUACAUCAUUAGUGGUUAAUUUCUAAAUGCUCCC